rnacentral:rRNA from 1 species
AGAGUUUGAUCAUGGCUCAGAACGAACGCUGGCGGCAUGCCUAACACAUGCAAGUCGAACGCGGGGCUCCGGCCCCGAGUGGCGCACGGGUGAGUAGCGCGUGGGAACCUGCCCUUCAGUGGGGGAUAACCGAGGGAAACUUCGGCUAAUACCGCAUGCGCCCGGAGCAAUCCGGGGAAAGAUUUAUCGCUGAAGGAGGGGCCCGCGUCGGAUUAGCUAGUUGGUAGGGUAACGGCCUACCAAGGCUUUGAUCCGUAGCUGGUCUGAGAGGAUGAUCAGCCACACUGGGACUGAGACACGGCCCAGACUCCUACGGGAGGCAGCAGUGGGGAAUAUUGGACAAUGGGCGAAAGCCUGAUCCAGCAAUGCCGCGUGAGUGAGGAAGGCCUUAGGGUUGUAAAGCUCUUUCGGCGGGGACGAUGAUGACGGUACCCGCAGAAGAAGCCCCGGCUAACUUCGUGCCAGCAGCCGCGGUAAUACGAAGGGGGCGAGCGUUGUUCGGAUUUACUGGGCGUAAAGGGCGCGCAGGCGGUCAUUUUUGUCGAGUGUGAAAGCCCCGGGCUUAACCUGGGAACUGCGCUCGAAACGGGAUGACUAGAGAUCGGGAGAGGAGAGUGGAAUUCCCAGUGUAGAGGUGAAAUUCGUAGAUAUUGGGAAGAACACCGGUGGCGAAGGCGGCUCUCUGGACCGAUACUGACGCUGAGGCGCGAAAGCGUGGGGAGCAAACAGGAUUAGAUACCCUAGUAGUCC